AUCCUGGCAUGGGAAAAGGAUUGAGCAGCAGCCGGAGGCCCUUCCAUCAGUCUGCUGCAGCAGAAGGGUGGAGGCGGGCAGCCCCACGGCAUCCCUGGGUUCAGGAAGCAUGGGGACCAGGUGGCAGGGGAAUCCUUAGUCCCCACUGAGCAAGCUGGCCAAGCUUAGAGAGGCUGGCAGUCACAGGGAAAGUGGGUUUCCAGCCCGAGGAGUUCUUUGUGAACUCAGGCCUACGGUACUGUGACCAAUGCUUUACAGAAUUUGUGUGGUAGGGAGGAGGAAGAGAAAACUCAGUGGUUGUGAAGAGCUGGCUUCUCUCCCAGGAAACUUCUGCCCUGGCCCUACCCUCCAAGGAAACUGGAAAACCUCCAAGAUUCUGUUUUUUUCACACCUCCAUGGCUCAAGAAAUGAAGUGGCAGAUGCGGGGCCUGAGCAAAUGAGGACGUAGGGCGAAGGAGCCCUGAGGCCCCAGUGGUGGUGGGGGGAGAUGGGAGGAGCACUUUAGGGAUCACCCCCGCAGGCAGGCGCCCCAGGGGGCCAAUGUCUCACCUUGAUGCAAGAUGCCCGGGUCUGAGAAGUUGAGUGAAAUGAGACUGAAGAAGGUGAGGAUAAAGAGCAGGCCUGUGAUGAUGGGAAAGGCCCAUUCCCCAUUCUGGGCCAGCCACCUGCAACUGAGACAAGAGCAGGACUCAGCCCUGAAGCUCCAGUUCAUCUAGUCAGCACCCACAGACCAUAAACCCUGCUCUAAAUAUCCAGGCUUGUGACAGAUCCAUAGAGACUCCACCAGUCACCCUGUAUUACCAACCACCUGCGGCUCCCAAAUGCACCAAGCCCUCUAUACCUCUAAUAGCAUUCAGUUCCCUUUGCCUGGAAUAUCCGGCCCUCCUGACCCCUCUUCUGCACUCCCCCUGCCUCCGUACUAUCAUUAUCUGCUUUCCUUUCUGUUGCUCUGUAAGAAACCUGAUAGCUUGUGUGGGAGACUUACGGAAAUGCGAAGAAGAGGCCACUGAAAAUGACCAGCAGCACCACGUUGAAGGCGGCAAAUAAGCUUGGGAGGACCCAGGGGAGCGGGGCCUGAGGUGGGGGGUGGGGCUCCUUCAAGAGCGGCAUGGCUGGACCUCCCGUGUCCCCAGAGGAGAUGAGAGUCACCAGGCUCCCUUCCCACUGCUGUGUCCGGGAGCCCCAUGGCCACAGCAGCCUUGGAAGCCACAGCCCAGUGUAGAAGGAAAGGAGUCCCAGUGUGACAUCACAGAGGCUGAGGAGAAUGGGGCUAGCGGCUCUCCAGCACCAACUGUCUGUAGCCAGUGACCAUCACCCCUGACAACAAACAACAUCCCUGCUUGUGCUGCGGACCGAGGGGUCCUCUCCCUGCCAGAUUGGCUCAAGACCAGGGACAGCUUGCAUCCAAGGAGUGGUCCAACAUGAGGAUAUAAAGGUCCAGAUGCUUUUCCAAUGGAAGACAAUUCUGAGAAGCCAUCCUAGCCCCCAUGUGACCUUGGAGGAGGCUGAGGCCCUUACCUCAGAUCAACAUCUCCCCCUGCUCAGCCUUGCUUCCUUCCCUUCCUUCUUUCCCUCUCCUUUCACAGGUGUUGGUCCCCAAAUCAUUCCCUAAUAAACAACGUAUGUCUAAUCUCUA